rnacentral:lncRNA from 1 species
GUAGUAGGCACUGCCCCGCCGUCCGCGCGCGCCCAGAGUGCCGGGCGUGGAGGUGUGGGGGCGCGGGGGCGCGGGGGCGCGGGGGCGCGGGGGGGCGGGGGCGGGGGGGCGCAGGGACGGGCGCGGUCAGUGCCUGAGAUCCCUGCGAUCGCUGGGAGAUGACGGUGAAGACCUGAGAUUUAGGCCUGCGCGGCGGGUGACGACGCCGGUCCGGGUCUUCACUGGAGGACGCUGGCCGGGGCCUUCAGGUGUUCUCGUGGCCUGAGGACGCGCGUCCCUGAGAAUGUGCGUGCCCGCGCCGCGCGGGUCCCACAGGAGCCUGGGCAGCCCCGCCGCCGCAUUUCCACCCUGCGGCCGUAUUUCCACCCGCUGGGCGCCAAGCCCGGGAUGACUGCACUCUAGGGCAUCACUGCGCGCUCACACUCAGCAUUCAGGCACAAGCACGUUCUCUUUAUAAACAGUUUCGAAUCUUGUCGAGUCUUUCUAGAAGGUUGAAAUGCCCUGGAGGAGCAGCGUGAAUAGUUUUUUCCAAUUAGGAAAAAAGAAUGUGGGGCGGCUGGAGGGAGAGAGGCAGGCCGAGAAGGCCAGGUGCGUCCAGGAGCCGCAGCCCCCGUGCCUCAGUUUCCUCCUAGAAACAUGGAGGUGGCGGUGCACGCUACAGGAUUUCUGUAAGAACAGAUGAGUUAACGUGUGCAAAACAUUUAAAACAGUGUCUGGUGUGUAGCAAGCAAAUAUGAGUAUUAGUCUUUUCCUUGUUAAAAUGUGUGCAUCUACAUUUGGUGCACAUUACAGGAAGUGUAUAGUAUGGAUUCAUAUUUUGGAAAAGUAAUUUUAGAAGUUAUUUCUGAUGUGCUUAUUGUAAUAGUGUUUCUUGACCACAUGCUUUUAGAUAAUGUGAAGGCAAUGAAGCAGGCAAUAUUGCUUGCACAUCCCCAAUUUAAACACCUGUCUGUCCCUCCUUCCCUCUCUCCUUUCUUUUCUUCCUUACCCUCUCUCUUUAUUCCUUCCUUCAUUCCCUUCAAGGUUGCGGAUUAUUCCAUUAUAUAAAUGUAUCAAUUUAUUAGAAUAGUUUCUAUGAUGUCUAUGAUGGGCUUUAGAUUGUUUGCAAUAGUUUGCCAUUACAAAUAAUGCCCAGUAGUGCUGUGGUUUGAUUUAACUUGUGAAGGUAUAUUUCCAAAUAAAUCGCUAUGAUUGGAUUGUUGUGUAAACCAAAAAGUGUCUGAGGCAGAUCACAACUGAUAUAGAGGUUUAUUUUGCCAAAAUUGUGGAUUUGCCUGGGGAAAAAGAAACACAGGUUACAGUAGGAUUUUUGGCCUGUACUUUUUUCCAAAUAUUUAAGGGAAAAGCGCCGGUAGGAGGGGAAAGAGGGGAGAGUAGGCUAUGAGGCAAGUGGUCACAUUUUUGUGAGGCUCUGAUUAGAGUACAGCAAAUCUACAUUUCACAUGUGAAAAGAAAGGUAUGGGGGAGGGUUAUACAUCUGUCUCAUACUCAGUAGAUCUACAUUUCACAUAAGAUAAAGUAAGCUUUUGGGAACAAAAAGAAGGCAUGUAUGUGUGUGUGUGUGUGUGUGUGCGUGUGUGUGUGUGUGUUGCCAAUAUUAACUUUUCCCUUUGGCAUAGUAAGUUUGGAGGCCUGAGAUUUUAUUUUUCUUUCACUGAUGUGUCAAGAUUAACUGCAUAUGGAAUACUAGUAGAAAUUGCCAAGCCAAGACCCCACCACCACAAUAGGGGACAUAGUAAUAUUAAAUUUAGCCCAAUUGGCCAGCAUCCACACAAUUCCUAGUGAAAGAAUUCCUGGCUGGAUGGUAAAGAGGUAAACUAACUGCAGAAACUCACAAAGCAACAAAAGAAGUCCACAGAAUAAGAGCAGGAAUUCAGAGAGUAACCACAGAGAGAUCCACAGAGUAACAGCAGGAAUUCACAGAGUAACAGCAGAACCCACAGUGUAACAUCAGAGCCCACAGAGUAACAGCAGAGCCCACAAAGUAACGUCAGAACCCACAGAGUAACAGCAGAGCCCACAGAGUAAUGUCGGAACCCACAGAGUAACACAAGAGCCCAGAGAGUAACAGCAGGACACACAGAGAAAUAGCAGGAACCCACAGAGUAACAUCAGAGUCCACAGAGUAAUAUCAGAACCCACAGAGUAAAAACAGGACCCACAGUGUAACAUCAGAGCCCACAGAGUAACAGCAGGAAUUCACAGAGUAACAUCAGAACCCAUAGUGUAAUAGCAGAGCCUACAGAGUAACAGCAGGAACCCACAGAGUAAUAGCAGGAACUCAGAGUAACAGCAGAAACCUACAGAACAGGAUCAGAAACCCAUGGAGUAACAGCAGGAAGCCAUGAAGCAGUUCUGUCCAACUUAGGUCAGCAUAUUCAUGGUCUUGGGUCUUCUUUGUGUGUGCUUUCUACCAGGACUGGGCUUAGCUCUGUGCUUGUGAAGAGUAACCCACUCAGUGCCCUCUGAAAUUUCGCCACUGGAGGAGGAGAAAAACCCCAGAGGGGCGGGGAGAAACGCUUUUCAAAACACAUGGUGCAGCUGGAGAUUGUGGUGCAGUUGCCCAGGCAGAAGGCUCGGCAGGGGGAAGUAGUGACCAGGAGGGAGGUGCCUCCUUAACCACAGAGAUUUUUUGGCAACCAACUUAUUGAAAAAUCACGUUUUAAAAUUUUCUUUAAGUCAAACCCUACAGAACCUAAGGAGCUGGCUCCUCCUGGCAGGAAGCUGGGAGAGUGCUGGUCACAGUGCACCAGGUGCCCCCUGCCUCACAGGGGCUUAGGGUGGUGGUGAGCACAGGGGCCCCACGCUUCUCCAAUGCACACCACACAGUCGUCUCCUCUGACCUUCCCAAAUGCUGCACGGACAAGUGUUUGUAGUCCCUAACUCUCAGGACAAUGUAGACUUGGUAUACCUUCGGGCACGGGGAAUCCCAUCCUUCUUCCUGUUCCUGCCGCUCUGAAGCAUGUGGUGUAUGUUUAAUGGGGAUUUUACACAAUAUGGGAAGACCACUUCUGCUUUCUAUGCAGUGAUAAUACUGCAAUAAGAAAAAAUGAACCAAGCCACCAAAACAAAACAGUACCACCUGAUGCAGAACUAGGAGGGAAACACAGCAGUGUCUCAGAGCUAAUGCAGCAGCCAGGCACCACGACGGUGUCAUGGGUACAAGGAGGAGGUGUCUCAGAGCUAAUGCUCUGUGCUGACAGCAGCCAGGCACCACGACGGUGCCAUGGGUACAAGGAGGAGGUGUCUCAGAGCUAAUGCUCUGUGCUGACAGCAGCCAGGCACCACGACGGUGUCAUGGGUACAAGGAGGAGGUGUCUCAGAGCUAAUGCUCUGUGCUGACAGCAGCCAGGCACCAUGACGGUGCCAUGGGUACAAGGAGGAGGU